rnacentral:rRNA from 1 species
GUCCACGCCCUAAACGAUGUCAACUGGUUGUUGGGUCUUCACUGACUCAGUAACGAAGCUAACGCGUGAAGUUGACCGCCUGGGGAGUACGGCCGCAAGAUUAAAACUCAAAGGAAUUGACGGGGCCCGCACAAGCGGUGGAGCAUGUGGUUUAAUUCGAAGCAACGCGCAGAACCUUACCACCUUUUGACAUGCCCGGACCGCCACAGAGAUUUGGCUUUCUCUUCGGAGACUGGGACACAGGUGCUGCAUGGCUGUCGU